CUUUUUUUUUUUGGUGUUUUUUCAUUGCAAGAUUUUGUUUCUAACUAUAUUUAUUCUUUAGAUGGAAGAAUGUUCAGUCUCUCUUCAAAUAGGGUCUUUUUAUCACUUCCCUAAUAGGUAAUCCUGGUUCAUUCCUUGCUUUCUCACCUCCUGAACAUCUUGCAGACAGCUUUUACUGGGUUGUUGUUCAUACAAGGGACCUAGACACUUUUCAUUAUAGUUUGGGACCCCUCCGUCUCCUGCUCUUUUCCAAAUCCUAGGCAUAUACCACAAGUCCAUAAGUUGCCUGGAGAAAAGCUGGGCGCCAAAGUCUGCUUACCUAAACCCAGAAGUGCCAAGUCCUUUGGAAGGGGUCUCUUUCUUUUCAGUUUUGUUUCUGCAAGAGGCAGCAGAAUUUCGAUGAAGUGUCUCCCUUCCAGCCUGUGACAGCUCCAGGUGGACCUAAACCACCUCAAUCUCGUCCUUUUGUAUUAUUAACCUUACUGCCUUUGCUUUUGUUCUUCUGGCCUCUCUUGUCCCCUUCUGAGAGUGACAAAACCUAAGAGCAUCUGCCUGCCACAUCCUCAAGUGGUGACAGGUGGAAGUGUUUCCAACCAAACCAAGCUCCCUGGUGAGGAAGCACACUUGUGGCCCUCUCCACAAGACAGAAAGAAGUCAGGGCUUUUCCCUUUGAGAUAAGUGUUACAUUCCCUUAUUCUAAAACAUUGGGAAAAAUAAUAAUAAUGAACUGCAAUGAACAAUUCUGCUGUUUCUUUUUUAAUUUAAAUUUUUAUUUUUAAUUGACAAAUAAUAAUUGUAUAUACUUAUGGGGCACAAUGUGAUAUAUUUUUUAUGUUGGUUUUUGUUUGUUUGAAACAGGGUCUCACUCUCCCACCCAGGCUGGAGUGCAGUGGCGUGAAGGCUCACUGCAGCCUUGACUUCCUGGGCUCAAGUUAUGCUCCUGGCUCAGCCUCCCAAGUAGCUGGGACCACAGGUGCGUGCCAUCAUGCCUGGAUACAUACAUACAUACACAUAUAUAUAUAUAUAUAUAUAUAUAUAUAUAUAUAUAUAGUAGGGAUGGGGCCUUGCUAUGUUGCCCAGGCAGGUCUUGAACCCCUGGGCUCAAGUGAUACUCCCACCUUACCCUCACCACAAGAUGCUGGGAUUUCAGGCAUGAACCACCAUGUCUGGCUCAGUGUGGUGUUUUAAUAUAUGUGUACACUGUGGAAUGUCUGCUGUUCCUUACAUGAUAAUUUUUAAUGAAGUUCAUCACUAAUCUGUUACUAUUUUUCCAGUCUGCGAAUUGCCAGAAGCCCAGUCUGCGAAUUGCCAGAAGCCCAAAGUGAGUAUCAUGUAUGUCAGUACAAUUAAUCAUUAGAUAAUGAAGAGAACACAUGGCAGUGCCACCAUUUUGGCACCAUUAAUGCCAAAAGCAGCAUGGAUGCGGGAUGAUUGGAGGAGAACUGGAUAUGUGCCUCUGUUAGGGUGGAACACAGUUGGUGAUACAAGUUAUGCACAACGUCAUUUAAAAUGGCUUCAAAUAUUCUGAAAAAAACAACAUUUAGUUCUUACUGUGAAUUUUGUCACGUAUUGAAAACCACUGCACAUAAAAUUGGAUGAACAAUCCAUCUGCAUUUUAAUUUUACAAUGAGGUUAGCAUAGAAAAAUAAACUGAAUAUUGACAGUAAUAAACUGUAUUCCUAGAAAGGCUGUGUGGGCCUACUUAAAGGUUGUCUCACCAAUAAAACCAUAAGCAUCUUUUAGGGCAAAGGUGGUUUCCUAUACUUCCUUCAAUUCUCCAAUGCUUCUCCUCUUCUUAAUUUAUGAGGCAGGCAUAUAGGGAAUUCAAGAACUAUAGGGAGUUCAGUUGAAUUAAAAUAUCUGGUUCUGCCGGGAGGUGGAGGUUGCAGUGAACCGAGAUUGUGCCACUGCACUCCAUCCUGGGUGACAGAGUGAGACUCCAUCUCAACAACAACAACAACAACAACAAUCUCGUUCUGUUAUUUAAAGAAAACACUUCAACAGUUAGAAAUUUUGAUUGUUUGUGGCAGGCACUGUACUGAGAGUUUUACAUACACUAUUCCAGUUAAAACUCAAACCACUUGGGAGGACAGAAUUAUUAUCCCCGUUGUACAGGUGACCAGAGCUCUGAGAAUGAAAGGAACUUGGCUUGGCCACACAGCUAUGAGUGGAAGAGCCAGAAUUCAACUUAGGCCUGUCCCUGCCCAGGGUGUGCUUGAACCCCUGCAUUAGCCCAGGGGUCUUCCUGGGUGGACUCUGUUCUGCGCUCUCCUUUGUUCCUGUGGUCGGGCUCCCAGAUUCCAUCCAGGACCAGCUCCUUUACUUACAGAUGGGGGAGCCUUGGGCAAGACCACUGACCUCUCUGAGCCUCAGUUUCCCCCUCUGAAAAAUUGAAAUAAUCAACUGUCCCUAAUAAGGCUUAAGAAGGUUAAUAUCUUUUUUUCUUUUUUUUUUUUUUUUGAGACAGGGUCUCUGUCACCCAGGCUGGAUUGUAUUGGCACGAUCUCAGCUCACUGCAGCCUUAAUCUCCCAGGCUCAAGUGAUCCUCCCACCUCAGCUUCCUGAGUAGCUGGGACUACAGGCAUGUGCCACCAUGCCCAGCUAAUUUUUGUAUUUUUUUUUUUUUGUAGAGAUGGGUUUUUGCCAUGUUGCCCAGGCUGAAGAAAGUUAAUGUCUAAAUUUAUGCACAACUACUUAGAAAACAGUAAAUCCCUAUAUCAAUCUUUGUUGAUAAAAACAUUCCAUUUUUCUCAUCAUUGGAACCUUGUCACGCCUCAACAUUUGGGGCACCUUUACUAAAUGUGACAUCUUGAUUUUUAAAAGUGAUCUGUUUCUUUUUCAUUUAAUUUUCAACUAAAUAAUGUAUUCACUUGGUUCAAACAAACAAACAAAAAAAGGUAAACAGUGAAGGAUCUCCCUGUUAUUGGCCCUAAUAAGUAACCCAGUCAGUGGUUGCUUCUUUAUGUUUCCAGGUAACUAUAUGUAUAUACAAAUCCUAAAAGUAGUGUUUUUUUUCUUCCUUCAUACACAAAAGUUUGCAUACUACUACAUACAUAUUUCUACACCUAGCUUUCUUCUGAAAAUUCCUUUUUAAAUUUAUUUUUAUUUUAUUCUUUUUUUUUUUUUUUUUUUUUUUGAGAUGGAGUCUCCCUCUGUCCCCCAGUCCGGAGUGCAGUGGCACUAUCUCUCCCGGGUUCAAGCAAUUUUUCUGCCUCAGCCUCCCCUGUAGCUGGGACUACAGGCGCGUGCCACCACACCCAGCUAAUUUUUGUUUGUUUGUUUUUUGGUGUUUUUGUUGUUGUUUUUGUUUUGAUUCAGAGUCUCGCUCUUGUCGCCCAGGCUGGAGUGCAGCGGUGCGAUCUAGGCUCACCACAACCUCCACUUUCCGAGUUCAAGUGAUUCUCCUGCCUCAGCCUCCUGAGUAGCUGGGACUACAGGCAUGUGUCACCAUGCCCAACUAAUUUUUGUAUAAUUUUUAGUGGAGACAAGGUUUCACCAUGUUGGCCAGGCUGGUCUUGAACUCCUGACCUUGUGAUCCCCCUGCCUUGGCCUCCAAAGUGCUGGGAUUACAGGUGUCAGCCAUCACGCCUGGCUAUUUUAUUCUAUUUUUUUAGAGACAGGGUCUCACUAUGUUGCCCAGGCUGCUCUUGAACUCCCAGGCUCAAGCGAUCCCCCUGCCUUGGCCUCUAAGUGCUGGAAUUACAGGCAUGAGCCACCAUGCCUGGCCCUGAAGUUUUCUUAAAGGUCUUUCUACAUAAAAACUCCCCUGUUCUGUUUUAACAACCAUGAUUUAUUUAACCAGUUCCCUAUGAAUAGACAGGUCAUUUCCAAUAUUUCAGUUUUGAUUUGUUGAUUUCUUAAAGAGCUGAAAUAAAUGAAAACACCAACUUUUUCUUCAUUAUGAACAUAGUUUAGACUAUUUACUAGACAAUAAUGUCUGCUUGAAUCUCAGAUUCAGUAAAUCUGUUUUAAAAUGGACAGGGAUCUGUUGGUACCAAGUGAAAGAAUUGCCCCACUCCCAAGGGUUGACUCACAUUAACUUGGCUUUUUUAAAUUUUAUUUUAUUUUAUUCUAUUUUGAAAUGGAGUUUCGCUCUUGCUGCCCAGACUAGAGUGCAAUGGCGCAGUCUCAGCUCACUGCAGCCUCCACCUUCUGGUUUCAAGCGAUUCUCCAGCCUCAGCCUCCCCAGUAGCUGGGAUUACAGGCACCAGCCACCACGCCUGGCUAAUUUUUUGUGUGUGUUUUCAG
rnacentral:lncRNA from 1 species